ensembl:lncRNA
CAGUGGAAUUCAAUGGGGUUUUCAGAAGGUCAGAAACUAAAUUGGUUCAAAAUCAGUCACAUUAGUGGGAGAGAGCUCUUCUGGCAGCUGCUAUAAAUCCAUCCUGCAGCAGAGAUGGCAAAGGAUGAGAGAAGGUGGGAAGGCUGGGGGGACACAGCACUCUGAACACUGCUUUGGUGUUUUGAGCAGGGGUUUUAUGUAAAACCUCAGGAGCACAGGCAUAACUGCAGGUGUGUGAAAACAGUCUUUAAGUGUCAAAGAGACACAGCAGAUGCUUUCCAGUUCCAUUAAACUCCGUGCACCAAAUUCUGCUUCUCCAGUAAACCAGUUUGAGCUUUUCCAAGCAGGAACAGCCACGGUUAAAGCAAGCUGAUAUUCCAGUGUCUGAGAGGACUCAGGAUUCAGGAGACAGGGGAGGAAAGCAGAGAUGAGAUCUCUUGUUUGGGCAAGUUUGAUUUCUGGUGAAACUUCAGUGGUCUUUGGUCCUUUAUGUCAUUAAGCACAAUCUAUGUCUUUAACUCAUCUUGUGCCUGUUUCAUGUAUUUAUAACAUUUUCUCAUACUGCACAAUUUGCUUAAAUCCUCUUCCAGCAGCUCUCUGAGCUCUGAAGGACAGGAGUUUUGAAAUAUAAAAAACAAAAUAAGAUUUAAGAAACAGUUUACAUGCCAUUAACUUUUCACACAAUUAACAAGCAAAAGUUUCUGGACAUUUGUAUCACCAAAUUUCAGCAACCCUAAUUAGGUUAUGCUCAGUGUAGGUUAAUUUCUCUCAUUUCAUGAACAGUCUAGCACUGGAGUGUGAUGCUGCACUGAAAUUAAACCCAAUUUCAGGUUUUGCUGGUGGCUACAGCUGCUGUAGGUUUGUUUAUAAAUAAUUAUUUUAGUGUUAAGUCUCCUUUUGCCUUUAAAUCCCAGCCUGGCUCCCUGCCCAGUUAAACAGGUGUCUC